rnacentral:rRNA from 1 species
GUCGAACGCUGGCGGCGUGCCUAAUACAUGCAAGUCGAACGCAGUGGGGACGGGUGAGUAACACGUGGGUAACCUCCCAUCAGAGGAGAUAACACUUGGCAACAGGUGCUAAACCGAUACUGAUGGAUGGACCCGCGGUGCAUUAGCUAGUUGUUGAGGUAACGUCGCACCAAGGCCACGAUGCCUAGCCGGCCUGAGAGGGUGAGCGGCCACACUGGGACUGAGACACGGCCCAGACUCCUACGGGAGGCAGCAUUGGGGAAUAUUCGGCAAUGGACGAAAGUCUGACCGAGCAACGCCGCGUGAAUGAAGAAGGUUUUCGGAUCGUAAAACUCUGUUGUUAGAGAAGCGGUAUCUAACCAGAAAGCAACGGCUAACUACGUGCCAGCAGCCGCGGUAAUUC